rnacentral:rRNA from 1 species
GACGAACGCUGGCGGCGUGCUUAACACAUGCAAGUCGAGCGGAAAGGCCCUUCGGGGAACUCGAGCGGCGAACGGGUGAGUAACACGUGAGUAAUCUGCCCCUGGCUUUGGGAUAACUACCGGAAACGGUGGCUAAUACCGGAUACGACAACGGUCUGCAUGGGCGGGGUGUGGAAAGUUUUUUCGGCCGGGGAGGUGCCCGCGGCCUAUCAGCUUGUUGGUGGGGUAAUGGCCUACCAAGGCUUCGACGGGUAGCCGGCCUGAGAGGGUGACCGGCCACACUGGGACUGAGACACGGCCCAGACUCCUACGGGAGGCAGCAGUGGGGAAUAUUGGACAAUGGGCGGAAGCCUGAUCCAGCAACGCCGCGUGAGGGAUGACGUCCUUCGGGUUGUACACCUCUUUCAGUACCGACGAAGCGCCGAUGAUGGUGGUGACGGUAGGUACAGAAGAAGCACCGGCCAACUACGUG